CAAAACGCUGGCGGCGUGCCUAACACAUGCAAGUCGAACGUCUCCCUGGUUUCGGCCAGGGAGGGAGUGGCGGACGGGUGAGUAACACGUGGGUAACCUACCCUGUGGUGAGGAAUACCGGCGAGAAAUUGUCGACAAGACCGCAUACGCUCUCGACAGAGAGCAAAGCUCCUUGCGAAAGCGAGGGGCGCCAGAGGAUGGGCCUGCGGCCGAUUAGCUAGUUGGUGGGGUAACGGCUCACCAAGGCGACGAUCGGUAGCUGGUCUGAGAGGACGAUCAGCCACACUGGGAUUGAGAACGGCCCAGACUCCUACGGGAGGCAGCAGUGAGGAAUUUUCCGCAAUGGAGGCAACUCUGACGGAGCAACGCCGCGUGCAGGAGGAAGGUCUUCGGAUCGUAAACUGCUUUUAUCAGGGAAGAGAACGGACGGUACUGAUGAAUAAGCCCCC
rnacentral:rRNA from 1 species